rnacentral:tRNA from 1 species
GGUAGAGUGGCCGAGUGGUCUAAGGCACUUGAUUAAGGCUCCAGUCUCUAAGGAGACGUGGGUUCAAAUCCCACCUCUGCCU